AUGUUUUUCUCCUCAAUUUUCACCAUUUUAUUGGUCUUUAAUAAGCAUUUGCUCAGAGGGUGGCAGUUUCUGAAGGUUUUAAAGUCAUUUUUACUAGCGACUUCCAAAACACACCUGUGUGGACUUUUCUGUACAUCAAUGGCUGGGCCUGGGUGCUGGAGACCCAUUCUGUUGCUAAGAUCUCUUCCUAGACAGAGUCGUCUGGGCUCUGAUGGACUUUGACUCAUGGCAUUGGUCUUGCUGCUUUGGGAUUUCUUCGGUGGCAGAACUUUUGAACUUAUCUUUAAAUAGUAAACCCCCAGAUAAGGGGUAAUAUUUUUUCCACUAAACUGAGUGGGAAAAAGAAUAAGAGAAAGGAAAAUUACAGCAAACAACACUGUAGAAAAUUGGUGAUUUCACUGGAACAGGAAGUGGCUUUCUUAGUAGCCUGCUAAGCUCUUCAGUGAAGGGAAGGAUUUUAGCUCUAAGGUAGUGAUUUCUCCCAAUGUUAUGAGAUCUAAUAGUUUUUUAUGUAUCAUUCAAGAAUGACAACAAAAAAGAUAUAAUUAGCUGUCAUUGUAAUCCAGUUUACAACACUUCCUAGUAGUAAACAUAUUUAUGUUUUUCAGUAUCGUUGAAAGUCAGGUCUAGUCUGUGAGAGUCAAUUGUUCAGGCAGAUCUUUAGAAUGAGUGAUCGUUUCCUAGGACAAAAGGGUCGAACUUGGAGAAUUAAUUUACCUGUAGUAGUAAACCUGACAGAAUGAAUCCAAAAUGCUAACCACAUAACCAAGGAACCCAGACUGGAAAGUGUCACAGAGACCAAUCUGGUGGCAGUGAUUCAACACAUACGUAGCAAUGUGUUACCCCAGAAAGAAACACACAGAACCCUUCCAAAAAUGCACUCUCAAGACAUGCACAUGCAAACAAAGAGAAACUCAAGACUCACAGUUCAUUCCAAUUCACAAGGGAAAAUUUUCAGGAUGAAUGUUGCUUUGACGUUGUCUUACUGAUGCAGAGGGAAGCCAAACCUGUUUUUAAUUGCAAAGCCAAAUGGCUUAUGCACGGGCUCUGCCAUGCUUGUGAGAACAUGUUGCUUUAUAGCCCCCUCCCCUUCCAUGAACACGAGAUGAGGCUUGCCAACGCUGUGUCGGAGCAUGGUCACAUUUAAAGUGAGAAGCCUUGCAGGUAUUAUUUAAGGGAGCGGGGUGUCAAUCUGUCAGAGAUGUCACUAUAAGUGGAUCUAUCUGCCUAUCUGUUACCACUUGCUAAUUACGGAUUUGGGUGAUAAUUGUCAGAAAUCUUGCCACAAAAUGAGAAAUAAAAUGCAUUUUCUGCGGGCA
rnacentral:lncRNA from 1 species